rnacentral:rRNA from 1 species
GACAGCAGUCGCCACGGUAAUACAGAGGGUGCGAGCGUUAAUCGGAUUUACUGGGCGUAAAGCGUGCGUAGGCGGCUUCUUAAGUCGGAUGUGAAAUCCCUGAGCUUAACUUAGGAAUUGCAUUCGAUACUGGGAAGCUAGAGUAUGGGAGAGGAUGGUAGAAUUCCAGGUGUAGCGGUGAAAUGCGUAGAGAUCUGGAGGAAUACCGAUGGCGAAGGCAGCCAUCUGGCCUAAUACUGACGCUGAGGUACGAAAGCAUGGGGAGCAAACAGGAUUAGAUACCCCUGUAGUCCCUGUCUCUUAUAC